UUCAGGGACAAACUCAUCCAUCAUUCCAGGUCCAGGGGCUGACUCACCAGUAUUGCCCAUAUUUUCAGUAAGCUCGGGAGCUGGUUCCACAUCUCCAACAACACUAUCAGUUUUAUGCUCAGAAACAUCAACUCCAUGAAUUUCGGCUUCAUGACUAGCACCCAUACCAACACUCCCUCCACUAACUCCCAGGCUUAGUUGGUCCCUAGCAAAAGCAGGAGCAGUUUCUGCAUUGAGGACUUCCUCCCCUCCAUUCAUACUACUACCUCCUAUCUCCCUUGCAUUACUUUCAGCAGCAGGCUGUACAAAACUGCUUUGCGGUGCUUGGUUGCUAUAGUUAAGAUCCAAUGCCUCACUCAUUCCACCACUCCUGACAGCACUAGACGGCUUGUGAACGUCAUCAACAUCACAUGGAUGGUAUUCAACACUCUCUGUUGAAUUUUCCUCUGCACUGUGGACUGUGUCCAUCGCAAUAACAGAAGAUGCCCUCAUCGACGCAGAGGGGUUAUGAAGGGCAGAUGGACCUUCAGCUUUAUAUGUAUCAAAUUUAUUGACAUCUAUAUCCAGGUCAAAACUUAAAUUUCUGCUGGGACCAGCUCCAGAAGAAGAUGGUUGAUUCACAUCGAAGAGAUUGAAACCACGAGGCCUUUUGUUGCUCCGAAUAUCUGAAUCUUGUGCGCCAUCAUCAACUUCAUCACCGUCACGGUCAAUAACAGUUCCUUCUAUGCUGUCAGCAGGAUGAAGCCUAUUUAGCGGCUUAUCAGCUGUGCUCCCACCUUCCUCCAGAUUGCGCUUUCUUGAACUAGGACCCCUAGACUCAAAUGAGGCUGCAAAGCCACCUAGCUCACUUCCAGUAGGCUGCCCAAUCAUCAGAUCUCUUCCCAUCCCUCCAUCAUUGAAAUGAUCAUGCAUAGAGGGCAUCACAGAAUGCGUAGAUGGCAAACCACCUGCCAUUGUAAGAUUUAGGUCAACCUGAGCAUUUGACAGUGAUUUUCCCUCAUCGGUACCUGCCUCACCACGUCCUUCAACAUUCUCUCUUUCUGUUCCUUCAGCAACCCAUCCAUUGAUGCCACUUGUAGCACUAAUUCCACGUGUCAGCACCCCCUUCCGCAUAUCAGGUGCGUCAAUAUUAUUGAUACUAAGAUGAGAAGGACGAGGCACCGAUCUGAAAUCCCAUAUUCUCACUGUUGCUCCACAUAAGCUGCAAUCAAGCAAAGGUGACCUCAUGCUGCAUCCAGAGUCUUUUACAUGAAUUUUUCCUUUGCCCUUAUCUUUCUUAACUGAUGCAGAGUACGAAUUUUGCUUAUGCUCGGGUAAACGGGAAUGGAUCUGAUCUGGAUCAGCUGAGGCUGUAUGUUUGGCAGAACGGGUUGAAUUUUCUUCCCAGUCCUGUACAUUUGGAAGCCAUCUAGGUUCCCAUCCACAAAGGCUUAUAAGUUUCUAUUUACUUGAGAGUAGCUACAGGACUCAUCUUGAUGAUUGAUAUCAAUUCCUGUUGUGCUGUCUGUUUUGUAACCCAGCUCUCCAGAUAAAAUAGUGAUUGCUUGGGAUAAGACACGGUCAAUCUGAGGACUCCUUGUGAGCUUCAUACUCUCUAUUGCAGAUUUGGCAAUAACAGGAAGAGAUAUAAACUGCAAAAGUCCAUCACAGCGAUCUUUGAAACCACCAACAAGAGCUGAUGGGGUAAGGUGGAAUUGGACUAGGCUAUCAGCACAGCUAUUUCCUCUCCAGGGACAAUCACCCAGGUGCGAUGCAUCAAGUUAUCUGCGGUAAAAUACAUUCACUCAGGACAUACCUUCAGCUGGGGACCAAGAUGUCAAUGCCGUAAAUAUAAGAUGUGCUCCACAUGACUCGCAUGCAAUUUUGUCCAUUUCAAUGUUCACCCAGCCUCUUCGAGCACAAGCCAAGAAAUGACCUUUGGCUUAGAAGCCCAUGUUGAAGACUUGAAUGUGGCCAGUCGCCGAAGCAAGUCUCCUCGUUCCCAUGGUCUACAAGAUGGUUGAGAGAAAUCCACGGCAGCUCCAGCAGCAUUAGUACUAAGAGAAGGCCGAGGAGCAUGUGGAGCAAUCUGGGAUGAUGAUUCCACUUUGGAUAUUGGCUCACCACCUAACCAAUCUAUGCUAGCUGCAUUUGUUUGUGCAGGUGGUGAUGAUGCACCAGCCGAACUGUUACCUGGCGACGGGGGUGGCGGGCGGCGAGGCCGAGCGCGGCGGCGGGUCGGGCGGCGCCGCCGACGAGCUCCGCACCUCCUCGCGCAU
rnacentral:sRNA from 1 species